AAUUCUCAAACAAGAUGGCUUUGUUGCUGUAUCUGUUUGGAUUUGGACUCUGCUGUGUCAAUGCAGCUGGUCUUAAAUGCAUUAGCUGGUCCUCAUCGAGGCUUGGUUCUACUCAGCGUGAUAAUUAUCUAAUGUUGAGGACAGUCUUAAGGCUGGCCAAAGGGUCUCUUUGGAUUGCUUCUAAUCGUCCUUGGACAAUUUAUUCAAU
rnacentral:misc_RNA from 1 species